GAUGAACGCUGGCGGCGUGCCUAAUACAUGCAAGUCGAGCGAACAGACGAGGAGCUUGCUCCUUUGACGUUAGCGGCGGACGGGUGAGUAACACGUGGAUAACCUACCUAUAAGACUGGGAUAACUUCGGGAAACUGGAGCUAAUACCGGAUAACAUGUUGAACCGCAUGGUUCAACAGUGAAAGACGGUCUUGCUGUCACUUAUAGAUGGAUCCGCGCCGCAUUAGCUAGUUGGUAAGGUAACGGCUUACCAAGGCAACGAUGCGUAGCCGACCUGAGAGGGUGAUCGGCCACACUGGAACUGAGACACGGUCCAGACUCCUACGGGAGGCAGCAGUAGGGAAUCUUCCGCAAUGGGCGAAAGCCUGACGGAGCAACGCCGCGUGAGUGAAGAAGGUCUUCGGAUCGUAAAACUCUGUUAUUAGGGAAGAACAAAUGUGUAAGUAACUAUGCACGUCUUGACGGUACCUAAUCAGAAAGCCACGGCUAACUACGUG
rnacentral:rRNA from 1 species